GACAGAAUAACAUAAAUUACUACGUGUGCACAUCCGAACGUGUUUAUUCAACUCGGAACUGUGAAUGAAAUAAGCUUCAAUAUCAUGAUUAAAUCAUACUACAGAUUUUAAAAAGAAAAACUUGUAAACUCGUUUACAAACACUGAAAAUGAGAUAAACUGAUAUAGGACCGAAAAGCAAGAACAACAUGAAUUAGAAUGAUAUGUAGUGUGUAUUCGUGGAAACUGAAUGGCAACUGUAUUCGUAUUAGCAGAAAAUGUAGAUCCGAAAAGAUCGCAAGAGACUUUGCAAGAGAUUUAUGAACGCUGGAAAUUAUAGUUCUUAUAAUAAUAGACCGAACUGGACUAAAUUCAACGAAACUGAAAGAAAACAAUGAAAUAGGAGGUAAAAUUACAAGGAAGGAGAUAAUAAAAGAAGGAAUUAAAGAGCAACGAUGUGAAUUAAAAUGGCAUAUAUACCGUAUGUAAUGUGAAUUUUGAUCGAAACCACGCGUGAAAUUGGUGUGGAUCGAAAUAUUAAAGAACGCCAAGAAUUUCGAGAAAAUGGGUUUAUAAUUUAUAAAUUAAAAUACCAUAUACAAAGCUUCAAGUCUUCGCUACGGAAUGAAAAAUUGGUAAAAGACAAAAUAACAACGGUAUAAACAAAAAGAAAUUCGAGUAAUAACAGUGGAAAUAACUAGCUACAAAAGUAUGCAUCAUUCAGCGAAAUAGACGUGAACAAUGACGAGUGAACCACAAAUUAAUCUUGUCGAUUUCAUAUAGAAUAAAGCUCAUUUCUUAUUUGAGAAAAUCCAUAUCGAUGUUACGUAAUAGUCUCACCAAUUUAACGAGAAAGAAAUUCCUUACGGUAUUGUGAAAGGCAGUCUCGUCAUUGCACGUCCUCAAUCCUAUAUUCUCUGCUUGGAUUUUAACAAAAAAAAA